GGUGAACGCUGGCGGCAGGCCUAACACAUGCAAGUCGAGCGGCAGCGCGGGGCAACCUGGCGGCGAGCGGCGGACGGGUGAGGAAUUCGUCGGAAUCUGCCUUUUUGUGGGGGAUAACGUAGGGAAACUUACGCUAAUACCGCAUACGACCUACGGGUGAAAGUGGGGGACCGCAAGGCCUCACGCAGAAAGAUGAGCCGACGACCGAUUAGCUAGUUGGUAGGGUAAAGGCCUACCAAGGCGCCGAUCGGUAGCUGGUCUGAGAGGAUGAUCAGCCAGACUGGGACUGAGACACGGCCCGGACUCCGACGGGAGGCAGCAGGGGGGAAUAUUGGACAAUGGGCGCAAGCCUGAUCCAGCCAUGCCGCGUGUGUGAAGAAGGCCUUCGGGUUGUAAAGCACUUUUGUCCGGAAAGAAAUCUUCCAACUUAAUACGUUGGGAGGAUGACGGUACCGGAAGAAUAAGCACCGGCUAACUACGUGCCAGCAGCCGCAGUAAUAC
rnacentral:rRNA from 1 species